AUUUAACCUAACCUAUGUUUUGUGUUUUAUUGUGUUGUAUACAAGGAGUUGUAUAUUGAAAUUGAAUUGAUUCUUGUUUCAUUGAAUAUAGAGGAGUUGUUCUGUUGCAAGUUGUUCUAGUUUUGUUGUUUUAAAAUCUGCGAAAAACUAUUUAUAGAUAAUGGUGAACUUAAACAAGAAAUGGACAUGCAGUUUGCUGAUUACUUAAUUGUGUACUCACAACACAUAGGAUUUCUCUGACACAGUUUCCAGUACAGAACUGCCACAGGAAUCUCCAGUGGAGUUGCAACCGCUCUCACGGACAUCCACAAAUCAAGUUACAAAACUGUUACAUGACUCUAUUGGAGUUGCAACCGCAAUUGGAUAAAAGUGAAAUUCGAAUAAUGCCAGAAAGACUAUAACCGUCCAAAGUGAUAGUGUGAAAUUAAAAUCAAAUGAUUACGUAUAAAUCAUAUUUAUAAUAAUUAUAAAUAGUAGCUGUAUUUUUUAAAUAAACAGAUUUGAUAAGUUA
rnacentral:lncRNA from 1 species